AACGAACGCUGGCGGCAUGCCUAACACAUGCAAGUCGAACGAGACCUUCGGGUCUAGUGGCGCACGGGUGCGUAACGCGUGGGAACCUGCCCUUAGGUUCGGAAUAACUCCCCGAAAGGGGUGCUAAUACCGGAUAAUGUCUUCGGACCAAAGAUUUAUCGCCUUUGGAUGGGCCCGCGUUGGAUUAGCUAGUUGGUAGGGUAAAAGCCUACCAAGGCGACGAUCCAUAGCUGGUCUGAGAGGAUGAUCAGCCACACUGGGACUGAGACACGGCCCAGACUCCUACGGGAGGCAGCAGUGGGGAAUAAUGGACAAUGGGCGAAAGACUGAUCCAGCAAUGCCGCGUGAGUGAUGAAGGCCUUAGGGAUGUAAAGCUCUUUUACCCGGGAUGAUAAUGACAGUACCGGGAGAAUAAGCUCCGGCUAACUCCGU
rnacentral:rRNA from 1 species